rnacentral:rRNA from 1 species
GAUGAACGCUGGCGGCGUGCUUAACACAUGCAAGUCGAACGGACUUUACAUUUUUGAAGCAAUUAGCUUGCUAAGCGAGGAAAUGUUGUAACGUUAGUGGCGGACGGGUGAGUAACGCGUGGGUAACAUGCCUUAUACUGGGGGAUAACAGUUAGAAAUAGUUGCUAAUACCGCAUAAGCGCACAGUAUCGCAUAAUACAGUGUGAAUAACUCCGGUGGUAUAAGAUGGACCCGCGUCUGAUUAGCCAGUUGGUGAGGUAACGGCUCACCAAAGCGACGAUCAGGAGCCGGCCUGAGAGGGUGAACGGCCACAUUGGGACUGAGACACGGCCCAAACUCCUAGGGGAGGCAGCAGUGGGGAAUAUUGGACAAUGGGGGAAACCCUGAUCCAGCGACGCCGCGUGAGUGAAGAAGUAUUGCGGUAUGUAAAGCUCUAUCAGUAGGGAAGAAAAUGACGGUACCUAACUAAGAAGCCCCGGCUAACUACGUGCCAGCCGCCGCCGUAA